rnacentral:rRNA from 1 species
AGUGAACGCUGGCGGUAGGCCUAACACAUGCAAGUCGAACGGCAGCACCGUAAGAGCUUGCUCUUACGGGUGGCGCGUGGCGGACGGGUGAGGAAUACAUCGGAAUCUACUUUUUCGUGGGGGCUAACGUCGGGAAACUUACGCUAAUACCGCAUACGACCUACGGGUGAAAGCAGGGGAUCUUCGGACCUUGCGCGAUUGUAAGAGCCGAUGUCGGAUUAGCUAGAUGGCGGGGCAAAGGCCCACCAAGGCGACGAUCCGUAGCUGGUCCGACGGGGUGAUUCGCCACACUGGCACUGAGACACGGUCCAGACUCCUACGCUGGGCAGCAGUGGGGAAUAUUGCACGAUGGACGAAAGCCUGAUCCAGCCCUACCGCGUGGGUGAUGAAGGCCUUCUGGUUGGUAAGUGAUGUUGUUGGGAAAGAAAUACAGCAGGUUAAUACCGCACUGUUCUGACGGUACCCGAAGAAUAAGCACCGGCUAACUUCGUG